CAAACCCAAAUCGGCGUGUUAUUGGGAACAGGUGUCUAGUUGAGCGUGGCGAUCCCUGAUUGGGCAAUUUGGUGAAGAGGAGAAAUAGGGCAUCAGAAACACAGGAAGUGGUUGGUGAUUCCCAGUAGUUAUUGUGGGUGCAACGGAGCAGAGGGGAGAGUUGAAGAGAGAGUGUAUGGUGUACUGUGGAGCUUGGGCAAAGAGAGAUACACACACAGGGCUGAGUAUACGAAUAUCUUUAUUGGAGCAUUGUGUUCAGAUGCAUUGUGUGAUGUGAAGUUAACACCCAUUGAAGAUCUGCUAGGAUUGCAGGAAGGAGAUCGUGCUCCCAGUUGUGUCGGAUGUCGGUUGUCUGGAGGAGAAGUGGAAAGAUCCAGUAUUAAUGAAAGUUGUGAGCGGCCCCACCGUAAUCGGAUUGGUGGGUGAGCCGGGACCAGCAAAAAAGGAGUCUGGUGCCUUGUCGUGGCUGUGACAUUUCCACUGGCUGUCUGUUGCAUCGGUGCCCCCAACGUCCAGGAACUAAUCCCCGGUCCUAUGUGGUUUUGACCCAAAUUCACUGUGAGUGUGUGGAGUGCAGUGGGUGAGUCCUUUUCUUUGCUGUGUGUACACUUGAAGUCUGCAGUGACGUGCUGUGUUAUGUCGUCAGUAAUCACCCUCUAGGCUGGGAGAGAAAACCCUGUGGAGAAGAACGUGAACCGGUGUUGUGAGACGACCGUCUUUUAUAUACAUGCCCGCUCGUGGCUUUGGACCCCUACUCCGCCGAGUGGUGACGUGUCAACAAUAGCAAGUAAGGAACAGUGUGCAUAUUGUGGGGGAUGACGACUGAGCGAAGUAUUGGCUGCUAUAUGAACAUCCAGCUGUGUAGCCCUUGUGUAUGAAUACCUGUUUGUGGAGUGCUUUCAGAGGUUCGCCCCUGUCUAGAUCUCUGGUCCGUUGUCUGGAAGAGAGGAGAGGGAAGCAUGCGAGUCAUUCCUGAGGUACAUAACUGGUGGCACAAACCUACAUGAAGUCACCCAGCGUGGUGGCACCAGCUGAGGCCGUGGAAGGCCCAACAUGCAGCAACUUCAAUCUGUACUUCUAUCCACUCUUGGUCAAAUUCGAGAGGUGGUGUCUUUCUCCAUAUAUUCACUGAAGCUAAGUAAAUUUGUGAAGGAACUCUGUCUGUCUGUUACCAGUCCUACAGGUCUGAGCUUGAGGCUCUGAGUCGUCGUGGGAGUGUUUCCACGGUUGGAGGUGACCGUGUUGAGUGUUGGUCUGGGAAGUCUGCCCCGGUGAAGAAGACCACAGUUGUCGUGACACAUACACCUUCUCUAGACUCCCGAGCUGAAAAGGGCUUAAGCCUGACGUCAGUGUUGAGUACUCGAGACUCGGACUCGGUCUCGGACUCGGUCUCGAGACCGUAUUUUAAUGGUCUCGGUCUUGUCAUGGACUCGUGUGCAUUUUGACUCGGUAUUGACUCGGACUCGAACAUAUUAGGAAUCGGACUUAUGCCCGAGUCCACUCGAGUCCCAAUCAAAAUAUUUCAUGAUUAUUACUGUAUGUUAAUGUUUAAUUAAAUUGAUGUAUGAUUGAUA